GAUGAAGAACGUAGCGAAAUGCGAUAAGUAGUGUGAAUUGCAGAAUUCAGUGAAUCAUCGAAUCUUUGAACGCACAUUGCGCCCCUCGGUAUCCCGAGGGGCAUGCCUGUUCGAGCGUCAUUUCACCACUCAAGCCUGGCUUGGUGUUGGGCGACGUCCUCUUUGGGGACGCGCCUCGAAACGCUCGGCGGCGUGGCACCGGCUUUAAGCGUAGCAGAAUCUUUCGCUUUGGAAGUCGGGGCCCCGUCUGCCGGAAGACCUGCUCGCAAGGUUGACCUCGGAUCAGGCAGGGAUACCCGCUGAACUUAAGCAUAUCAAUAAGCGGAGGA
rnacentral:misc_RNA from 1 species